rnacentral:rRNA from 1 species
AGAGUUUGAUCCUGGCUCAGAGCGAACGCUGGCGGCGUGCCUAACACAUGCAAGUCGAACGUGAAAUGGGGCAACCCAAAGUAAAGUGGCGUACGGGUGAGUAACGCGUAGGUAAUCUACCCUAGAGUCUGGAAUAACCGGCCGAAAGGCUGGCUAAUACUGGAUAGAGCGACGGAAUCGGUAAUUCGGUUUUUCGGGAAAGGGAGCCCGCAAGGGCCCUCGCUUUAGGAUGAGCCUGCGUCUCAUUAGCUAGUUGGUAAGGUAAUGGCUUACCAAGGCUUUGAUGGGUAGCUGGUCUGAGAGGAUGAUCAGCCACACUGGAACUGAAACACGGUCCAGACUCCUACGGGAGGCAGCAGUGGGGAAUCUUGCGCAAUGGACGAAAGUCUGACGCAGCCACGCCGCGUGAGUGAAGAAGGCCUUCGGGUUGUAAAGCUCUGUCGGAGGGGACGAACAUCUAUACAGUUAAGAGCUGGGUAGACUGACGGUACCCUAAAGAGA